GGUCUUACAAAGUUGGAAGAUGAUUUUCGAGGUGUGUUUAAACCUUCAAAUUAUUUAAUAUUAUGUGUAUUCAUUAUUUAGUUUCAUAGAGGAUUUGCCGUAAGAUCCUAACGCGAUCGUUUUAACACAAUCGCAGUCUGCUGGCGGGUCCGUCAACGGCCGUUCCAGGCAGAGGAGAAGGCUUGAUUGCGCCAAAGACUCCAGACAUCGAAUCCAUGCUCCGAGGGGAAAUCAUCGAAAACGACGGUGAAUGUCCGACAGGCACCCGCUAUUGGUAGCACUGGACAAGUCGGAUAUCCUUGCUUGGAUCCUUUUAAAGUUGCCCGAUAAACUGCUGAGAGUUGAUCUCUCCUCUUGUCCAAAGGUUUUUCGUUCAUUUUUACUUGUAAUACUGGCACUAGGGUUGAUGUAGUAGCUCCACAACAUAACCUUAAAGCCUGUGACUGGAUCCGGUCUAUUUUCCCAAGUCAUGUUUUUGAAGCAGAUUGGUAAAUAAUGCAUCCGUAAUCAAUAACAGAUGGAAUUAAAGUUAUAAAUAUAUACAUGUAUUGUUUUCAACGUUAACCUAUCAGCCCCCCAAUCAUUACCCCUCAAAGACCUCAUUAUAUUUAACACCUUUUUACUUUUUCCCCUAUUUUUUUAUUUUCCGGAAGGAACACUCCUGAAGGAAUAAAUAAAGUACUAUCUAAUCUAAUCUAAUCAAAUCUAUUUUGCUGAUGUGGGUUGACUAGUUCAUAUUUUUAUCAAACCAUAUUCCUAAAUAUUUAAAUACUUGUACCUCUUCUAUAUUUUCACCUUAGAGUUUUUAUUUGGAGCUUGUUUGGUACUUUUGUCUUUGUAAAAUGUAUGACUUUUGUCUUUCCAACAGAGAAUCUUAAACCUCAAGCCGUUCCCCAGUCUUGAACAUUAUUUACCACUUUGUUAGUUUUUUGAUUAUUUCUUUUGACUCUAAAUAAUAUACUAG